CGCAAAUCUUCAUUUGAGAUUCACCAAUAUUGCUGUGUGUAUCAGAAGUGUCUUCCUUUGAAUGGACCAGAGCCAGAAAUUCUGGUGAGGAGCAUUGAUGUCUAUCGAAAAAGAAGACUUCUUAUUUUGAAGAUGAGGAAUUUGAGAUUCAGAGAUAGUAACAACUUUGGCAACAUCACCCUGUUCUUAUAAUGGAGUAUUAGAAU